GAGAGCAGGUCUGAGGAGGGAGAGGGUGACGGUGAGGUUAGCCGGAGGGCCAGACGGCGCGAGAUGAAAGUGGGAACUCUCUCCCACAGCUGUCAGCAGUUUUUAAUGCAAACUUUGCUAUUGAUUGGCAGAGCCGGCCAGGUUUCCACCACCAAACUUUUCUAGUUUGGCAGCUUUUGUUGUGCUUUCUCCAGUGUUGGAUGGAUUGUGUGGUUAAAGGAGUCCAGUGUCAGGUGGAGACUUCAGGGGCCAGAGGCACAGUUUGGAUUGGGAGUACUGACAUGCAACUCUGAGUCCAUAUUUCAUCACCUCGUGAACAAGGGCUUUGACCACAGAGAGGCCCUUGACAUUCUGAUCCUUGAACACAUGUCUCGGGCUUUCCAGCACAUCAGGAUGACACCUCAUGAAAGGGGAACCCCACCUUUGGCUUCUCCUGGAGAACAACACGUGUCAGCGGCCCCCCGUGCGCCCUGUCAGGGGGUGAAGAGGUUAGGCGCUCUGUGCGGCCGCACACAUCCCGGCCUUCUUGAAGACCACCAUAAUGACUGCUAAUUACGCUGCCAUCUGUGGGGUGGGCUGUGUUAUGUAGACACCUGUUCAUUAAGUCGGAGAGGGAAAGUUUUCUCUAAGAAGCACUUGAAAAAGACUCAGAAACUCUCCCGCUUUCAUGAUACAGAAUCUUAAAGUGAUUAUUUUAAGGGAAGAAACCACCCAGGUCCGCAUUAACCCACAUACUUGUAUCAAUAAAACUCCUGAGCAUGCAAUAAUUGAACACCUCUGCGCCGCUAAUGAUUGAAUGAACUCUGUGUGAUACCUCUCCAGCUUCAGGAAGCAUCACCAAGGUUAACCAGGCCAUCGGGCAGCAUUAGUGGGAGGGUGUUUGGAGGGGAAGCCAAUAAAAAGCUCUCAGAUAUCUGCUGAAGGGGAGCACAGCCUGUCAAUUCUGUGGCCCUAAGAGCUGAUCUGCCAUUACCGACUCACAAAAGACUAAUGAGAGCCAUUCUGGUGCCAGCACCUUGAAUAAUAUGUCGAUACUCAUUCAGCCUACAUUGAAUGCUACCUUUUUUAUUUUAACUUGAUGUGAGAUGGAUCCUCCCUUAUUUCUUUAGAAUAUAAAGCAGUUGGCAGACUAUGUGAGUAACUAAUGACAUAAUGAUAAUAACUCAAACAGGCACUGCUUUAGAGGCUCAAGGCCGGACAUGUUAAAGCCGUCUCCCCUGGACACAUCCAUCUGAUCCCUAUCUCUUACUUAAAGAUUUACACAAACAGAUGAUUGCAAAGCAUCACAUAUUUCAACAUUUUAUCUGUAAAGCUUAUGACUCCAUUUAGCUUCAGAUCCUCCUAGAGCGAGCCGGCACAGCAAUCAUAAACCCAGAGGCCAAUUAGGAUGGUGACGGAUUGAUUUUGGAAGAUAAAUUUGGGAUGUAAAAGGUUGACAUAGCUGCUGUGUCUCUUUCACUGCAUGUGCGGCUCCCAAUUAAGUGAGAAGAGGCAUUUUUUUCCCUUCUCUCUCUCUCUAGGAUCAGAGUGUCUCCCUGACAGAUGAGCCACUAAUGAGAGCAAAUCUCACUAAAUCCUCAAGAAACAUGAUGAAUUGAAUCAUGUUCACCCCGUUCAUUUGUUGUGUUCACAGAUGAGACAAAACGCAACAUUUAUCUAGUCAACAAAUAGCAAAUGAGUAGGUGUAUACAUCGUUUCAUUCAGUGUCUUGGCUUCUUAGUAUGAUAUUAAGCUCGGAGACUCUGGCUGAGAUUUGUACUAUUCCUUACACUGUUUUUCUUUUAAUCCACCUUAUCUGUGCAGAAACAUCAUAUGGAGGUUGAAUGCAGACAUAUGUUAAGUCCUGAGGCCUCAAUCUGCCUCCCUCCCUAAUAUUUACAAGACAAAUUACGGCGGCUAUCUCUCUCAUUAUCUCACUCCAAACCCUCACCAUAUGUAUCCCUAUUAUUAGACAACGAGCAGAAGAUGGCCUAUUUUCAAAUUUAAAUUACCAAGUCUAACCUUAAUUGGUUAGAAACGUUGUUUAGUGGAUGGUAUCAAAGUCGGGCUUAUGAGAGAAUCCGACAGAUGGCUUAGUCUUAUGACUUGUAUUAACACCUUCGAAGUUUAAUGAACUGUUAAUUGCUUUUCUAAUACAUAAUGGGACCAUUGGAAUACAAGCGGUAAUGCAAACAGAUUAGUAUGUAGACGACGGGUAAACACCCGUCCUGUUCAAUGUCACCUUUAAGUACCUUGAAAAACAAAAACAAGCUGAAGGACACAGACAAAAAUACCAGUCUUACAGCUGAUGGAGGUAUUUUAAGGUGCAUGAAUCAUUUUUCACUACAAAAUUGACCUAUUUUAAUACAAACUUAAGAAGAGAAUAUGACUUUUUGAUAUGAAUGUGAAUAAAUAUGGGGCUUUUUUAAACUUGAAGUACUUUUUUAAAAGAAGUAUUUGCUAGUUUCUAAAAGCAUGUAUUUUUGACCCACUUUAGGUACACUGUCACUGUAUUCUAAAAAGAACUAAAGUGAUAAUAUGUGCCAAAGUAUUUGCCUGUUUGAUUUUAGGUAAGUUGCAAAGGUCAGGUUGUGUGACCAGUGUUUCAGGUGGUGAAACUACAGGUAUCAUUUAGGGCUGAGCAAUAAAGUUUUUCGCAAAUCAAGAUUUUGACAAUUGAAAAUCAAGACUUUCUGUUAAACUUUACUGCUGUUAUACCAA